rnacentral:lncRNA from 1 species
AACAAGUUAAUGUAAAGAGAAUGGUUUCAUCUAUGUAUCAAAUGACCCAAUCAUGGUUGAAAUAGAGGCAACCUAUCAAUGCCUCAAAGUAUCAUGAAGGAUCUAUUGAUCAAUCAUUAAUAGGUUUGAAACAAAAAGAGAAUGGUUUCAUCUAUGUAUCAAAUGACCCAAUCAUGGUUGAAAUAGAGGCAACCUAUCAAUGCCUCAAAGUAUCAUGAAGGAUCUAUUGAUCAAUCAUUAAUAGGUUUGAAACAUUGAAGGCUUAAGAUUUUAAUGUGAGACCAAUUGCAUUGGAAAGCUUAAGAUGUCUACUUCAAAUUUUAUGUUGGACAAAAU